UACGUAGGAUGCGAGCGUUGUCCGGAAUUAUUGGGCGUAAAGAGAACGUAGGUGGCGGAUUAAGUUUGGUCUUAAAGACCGGGGCUCAACCCCGGGAAUGGAUCGAAAACUGGCCUGCUAGAGGACGUCAGAGGAAAGUGGAAUUCCGAGUGUAGCGGUGAAAUGCGUAGAUAUUCGGAGGAACACCAGUGGCGAAAGCGACUUUCUGGGACGUUCCUGACACUGAGGUUCGAAAGCUCGGGGAGCAAACAGG
rnacentral:rRNA from 1 species